CUACCACUGUAUUAAUUAUCAAGGCAUUUUACUGUAUAGUUUUGGAGAAAACUAAAAGCAAAUUCACCCAAAACAUCAAAAUCCAUUGUUGCACUUACACUUUUUCCCAUUUUCCAAAAUUCAUAUAAAGUGUUCCUUUAUAGGUUAGCUCAUUCUUUCAAGUCAUAUGUAUUCAGAGUGUCCCCUACUAUCACUGUAUUAAUAUUCAAGGCAUUUUACUGUAUAGUUUUGGAGAAAACUAAAAGCAAAUUCCCGCAAAACAUCAAUCUCCAUUGUUGCACUUACACUUUUUCCCAUUUUCCAAAAUUCAUAUAAAGUGUUCCUUUAUAGGUUAGCUCAUUCUUUUAAUGUAUAUGUAUUCAGAGUGACCCAGACUACCACUGUAUUAAUUAUCAAGGCAUUUUACUGUAUAGUUUUGGAGAAAACUAAAAGCAAAUUCACCCAAAACAUCAAAAUCCAUUGUUGCACUUACACUUUUUCCCAUUUUCCAAAAUUCAUAAAAGGUGUUCCUAUAUAGGUUAGCUCAUUCUUUCAAGUCAUAUGUAUUCAGAGUGACCCAGACUACCACUGUAUUAAUUAUCAAGGCAUUUUACUGUAUAGUUUUGGAGAAAACUAAAAGCAAAUUCACCCAAAACAUCAAAAUCCAUUGUUG